rnacentral:rRNA from 1 species
GUUGAACGCUGGCGGCGUGCCUAAUACAUGCAAGUCGAGCGAACGGACGAGAAGCUUGCUUCUCUGAUGUUAGCGGCGGACGGGUGAGUAACACGUGGAUAACCUACCUAUAAGACUGGGAUAACUUCGGGAAACCGGAGCUACUACCGGAUAAUAUUUUGAACCGCAUGGUUCAAAAGUGAAAGACGGUCUUGCUGUCACUUAUAGAUGGAUCCGCGCUGCAUUAGCUAGUUGGUAAGGUAACGGCUUACCAAGGCAACGAUGCAUAGCCGACCUGAGAGGGUGAUCGGCCACACUGGAACUGAGACACGGUCCAGACUCCUACGGGAGGCAGCAGUAGGGAAUCUUCCGCAAUGGGCGAAAGCCUGACGGAGCAACGCCGCGUGAGUGAUGAAGGUCUUCGGAUCGUAAAACUCUGUUAUUAGGGAAGAAAAUAUGUGUAAGUAACUGUGCACAUCUUGACGGUACCUAAUCAGAAAGCCACGGCUAACUACGUG